rnacentral:misc_RNA from 1 species
AACAUCUCCUUCACGCCUCUUCAUUUGUUGGCGCAAGCACGUUCUCGGCCAAAAUUGGGUUUCCUGUGCUAGAUACCUAUCUCGAAGGAAUUUGGUUGGCUAUAAUUGUUGGCUUUCCGUUGCGUACCGCUGCUCCUUGUGGGGGAAGUGGUGCGCUGCGGACCUCAAGGCACUCGCCGUGUUUCUCACCGUGUCCACCUGUACGGGUGUUUCGGUUUCUGAGCCACGGCGCAAUGCUUGAUAUCUCGGGUGCGGAACAUCUCGUGGGUACGAGGCCGUUGGCCUCCGAUCACCACAACAACAAGCGUUCUACGCUUCGUGCGAGCGACGGUUGGCUCGGUCUUCGAACGUGCUCUAGCAGCCCGAUUGGAGUCGUGUCGGCGUCGG